rnacentral:rRNA from 1 species
GAUGAACGCUGGCGGCGUGCCUAAUACAUGCAAGUCGAGCGAAGCGGGGACGGGUGAGUACACGUGGUUAACCUCCUAUAAGACUGGGAUAAAUUUCGGAAACCGGCGCUAAACCGCAUACUUAAAGAUGUAUCCGCUCUUCAUUGGCUAUUUGGUAAGGUAACGGCUUACCAAGGCAACUAUGGAUAGCCGACCUGAGAGGGUGAUCGGCCACACUGGAACUGAGACACGGUCCAGACUCCUACGGGAGGCAGCAGUAGGGAAUCUUCCGCAAUGGGCGAAAGCCUGACGGAGCAACGCCGCGUGAGUGAUGAAGGUCUUCGGAUCGUAAAACACUGUUAUUAGGGAAGCGGUACCUAAACAGAAAGCCACGGCUAACUACGUGCCAGCCGCCGCGGUAAUAG